GCAAGUCGAACGGGAUUAUUGUUCUAUUUUAUAUAACAGUAUGAGAGGGGCGAACGGUGAGUAACACGUAGGUAAUCUGCCUAUCAAAUCGGGAUAGCCAGUGGAAACAAUGGGUAAUACUGGAUACGUAUUAUAUAAGGGAUUAUAUAGUAAAAAGGGUACUUUUGUGCCGUUGAUAGAGGAGCCUGCGCUUGAUUAGCUAGUUGGUAAGGUAAUGGCUUACCAAGGCGACGAUCAAUAGCCGGCCUGAGAGGGUGAUC
rnacentral:rRNA from 1 species